rnacentral:rRNA from 1 species
UACAGAGGGUGCGAGCGUUGUCCGGAAUCACUGGGCGUAAAGGGCGCGUAGGCGGUCUGGUAAGCGUGUGGUGAAAGCCCGGGGCUCAACCCCGGGUCGGCCAUGCGAACUGCUGGACUGGAGCAGAUCAGAGGCAGGCGGAAUUCCGGGUGUAGCGGUGGAAUGCGUAGAGAUCCGGAAGAACACCGGUGGCGAAGGCGGCCUGCUGGGACGGUACUGACGCUGAGACGCGAAAGCGUGGGGAGCGAGCAGG